CCAUUUAGCUGAGCUCACACAUGUCAAACGCCGUUUCGAAGAUUUAGCGUGAGAUGUAGUGCUGUUUUUUAUUUCUUUCAAAAUCUAUGUUGCAAUAUAUUAGUUAAUGUUGUAUUUAACUUGCACCGUAUAUUAUUUCGUAUAUUCCACUGGCUUUUUUUCUUAAGAUGUUUUUGAAUCUCCUUGCUCUUCAUGAAAAUGUCUGUCUGCUGGUCUCAGGGGUAACAAGAAAAACUAAACAAAAAAACACUCGGAAUGUAACACAGACAGUGAAGAUGAAGGUGCCUCAGCAAGUCCACAACCACACAUAAGUACAAGUACACAAUACACAAGUAGAGAGGGGAAUUGUGAAAGCAAGCCUUGGGGUUUUAAUCAAGACAACAUAAGUGAUGUGGUCAAUAUUCCUGAUGAUGACUGCAAUCCUCAAAGAACUUUAACACAGGAUUGUAUCACUUUGACAUUAGUUGCAAAUGGUAGUGGCAACUUGCCUGAUAUAACUUUCCACAAUACAAGUUUGUCAGCUGCAUCUGAACGAAACUUGAACUUCUCUCUCUGUUCAGAAAUUGGUGCCUUACAAAGAACAUGUUUCGUUGAUAACCCCAUACCAGUCAUAGCUAUUGGCAGUGACACAUGCAAUGAACCACCACAGCCAGAAAGGAUUCUUCCUGUGGAUGUUAAUUCUCAAGAAUUGUCAUAUACUUGUUACAGAAACUAUGUGCAGUGGACACAACAUCAUGAUGAUGAUGUCUCUGUCAUGUCUGAUGAUAUUAAUUUUUGGCUAUUCAAGCUAGCCUGGAAGACCAAGUGAUGAACCUUCAAAAUGAUAAGGCAGCUUCUGAAGUUUUGCACGAAUUGGCUCAGAAAAUCAGUACUUCUUCAACAUCAAUCGUCAUAAUAUAUGGGAUGGAGCAGUAAGAGGCUUUAGAAGAAAAACAUUCUUGCCGUCCAACCAUCCAUCAGUUAAAUUCUCGGAUGAUACUGGAAAGCUAGAGGAAGCUAUUGAUCUCGGGGGACCCAGAAGGGAAUUUCUACGUCUUCUGAUGCAUUACCUUGAGGGAUCCCCUCUUUCUGAAGGUUCAUCAACCUCCAAAACGCUAGCUCUCAAUUCUUCAGCGCUCCGAGAAGGUUGAAUGAAGCAGGUCGAAUGAUUGCAGUGUCCUUGGUUCAUGGUGGUCCUGGCCCUGGAUUUUUCUCUCAGGUUCUUUUUGGCUCCUUGUCUAUGGACCUGAAUCUGUGGCACCAAAACUAGAGGAUGUAGCAGACUUUGAAGUGGCUCACAAAAUCCAACAGUGCCGAUUUGAAAUUAACAUUUCAUAUGGAAUGUCAGAAAUAGCAGGGGGGGUCUGGGGAUACACUAAGACUGAAGACUGAUGAAGUUCAGAGAUGGUAUAAAAACACUGGGAAUCCUUCAGCAAGUAAAGACAUUUCCUGCUAUCUUUUCACCACUUUUCUGCCACAAGCCUGAAAAGCUUACUGCAGAAAAAAUGGAUAACCUCUUCUCAAUUUGCUUCUCACCAGAGGAAAGCAACAAAAAAGUUGCUGAAUUAUCUGUAGUUGCCUUUUGGAGGGAAUUUUUGGAAGAUGUGGAGGAAAACGAGGCAUCAGUGACAAUGGAAUUGAUUCUAGCAUUUGCAACAGGGGCAGACAGCAUUCCUCCAUGUGGAUUCUCUCCUGCACCAUCAAGCUGAAACAAUGCAACCAGGGGUACUACCAGUUGCAAACACAUGCAUAAACUGUCUAAAGCUACCCAUCCAUCAGACAUAUGAAGAAUUUAAUAUUUUUUUGCAACAUUCAAGGUUUCGGCAAGAAUAACGUGUGAUCACAAACAUAAAACUGGUAAUGCUGAUUGGUGUUUGCUUCCUUUGUUUUUAAAAAGUAAAUUGUUUUAUGUAAAAUGAUAAAUGAAAGUAAAAGUGGUAAU